rnacentral:rRNA from 1 species
AACGAACGCUGGCGGCAGGCUUAACACAUGCAAGUCGAACGCCCCGCAAGGGGAGUGGCAGACGGGUGAGUAACGCGUGGGAACAUACCCUUUCCUGCGGAAUAGCUCUGGGAAACUGGAAUUAAUACCGCAUACGCCCUACGGGGGAGAGAUUUAUCGGGGAAGGAUUGGCCCGCGUUGGAUUAGCUAGUUGGUGGGGUAAAGGCCUACCAAGGCGACGAUCCAUAGCUGGUCUGAGAGGAUGAUCAGCCACAUUGGGACUGAGACACGGCCCAAACUCCUACGGGAGGCAGCAGUGGGGAAUAUUGGACAAUGGGCGCAAGCUUGAUCCAGCCAUGCCGCGUGAGUGAUGAAGGCCUUAGGGUUGUAAAGCUCUUUCACCGAUGAAGAUAAUGACGGUAGUCGGAGAAGAAGCCCCGGCUAACUUCGUGCCAGCCGCCGCAGUAAGAC